ACAAGAAAUGUAAACAAUGACAAAAAUGGACAAUAUUUCAACAAAAAUAACAUUUAACAAGUAAUUCGUCAUCUUCUGGAGCCAUCAGUGGAAGUGCAUGGCUUCCCUGGCAUCUUUCUCUUUAGGGAGGUAUAGGAAAUUGAAAUGGCGGAAUCAGUUAAAUUUCAUAGCAUGUUAUUUUGGAGAUUUAGAGGUACUGCGUUGUUCGUAAAGAGUCAAGAUGUACGAAGUGCAGCAUCUAAUAGGAUCCAUUAGGAGCCUUAGUGAAGAAUCUGUCGCUAUCCUGGGAUCCCACAGGAGGAGGAGAGGCAUUCCAGGCAGGGAUAGGUUGGUGCAGGAAAGCAGGAGCAAGGACAUUGAAUUGGCAAAAUCAGGUUGCCGGCGCAGGAAAAGAGGAGGGACGUCGUCAGGUUUAUCAUAGUCAUGCAAGGAUCAGAUGGAGCAGGGAAAACAGAAGCAAGGACAUUAAAAAAAGACAAAAACUAUGAACAUAAUCAGCAUAAGAAAAGGGCAGCACAGCACGAAGCUGGCCUAUCUAUAGUAGGCGUCAUUGGCAUCAAGGAGCUGAACCAGGGAGUCCUCUUCAUCGAGAGAUUCCAUCUCAACAGAAUUGCAGAUGCUUCGCAUUUUCGUAUUAUUAAAUGACAA